rnacentral:rRNA from 1 species
CCUACGGGAGGCAGCAGUGGGGAAUAUUGGACAAUGGGCGAAAGCCUGAUCCAGCCAUGCCGCGUGUGUGAAGAAGGCCUUCGGGUUGUAAAGCACUUUCAGUGGGGAAGAAAGCCUUGGGGCUAAUACCCUCGAGGAAGGACAUCACCCACAGAAGAAGCACCGGCUAACUCCGUGCCAGCAGCCGCGGUAAUACGGAGGGUGCGGGCGUUAAUCGGAAUUACUGGGCGUAAAGCGCGCGUAGGCGGUCUGAUAAGCCGGUUGUGAAAGCCCCGGGCUCAACCUGGGAACGGCAUCCGGAACUGUCAGGCUAGAGUGCAGGAGAGGAAGGUAGAAUUCCCGGUGUAGCGGUGAAAUGCGUAGAGAUCGGGAGGAAUACCAGUGGCGAAGGCGGCCUUCUGGACUGACACUGACGCUGAGGUGCGAAAGCGUGGGUAGCAAACAGGAUUAGAUACCCGUUAGU